CUGCCCUGACUUCCCGGCCUCCAGCUCGCGCCGGGCUCCUCCCACCCCAUCCGGCCGACGCCACGCCUCGGCGCUUCUACGCCUGCGUUGGCGGGACCCGCGCAGGCCCAGAGGCUGAGCGGCGCCCUGGGGCCAGCCCCACCCGCUCCAACGCUGCUGCCUUGGCCGCUGCGUCUGGAGAGCCGGAGGACGAGCUGAACCUCGCAGCCGCUGCUAACUCCAGCGUUCAUCACAGGGUGUGGUAUCUAUCUGAAGAAUAUUUUGCUUUCAAAGGAGAGAUGUUGUCUCCAAAUGAUAAAAAGUUAGGAAAACUGGAUCCAUUUUAUCGACCUUCAGUGUCUAAGCAGAAGACCAGUGCAGAAAUCAUAAGUGAAGCACGAAAUGCAUUAAGAACAGUUAGAACCCACAGACCAUUUACACCGCAGGAAGACCAAAGAAAACUGUUCGGACCUGCAUCUUCACAAACAUCAGAAAAUAGACCUCCUUCCUCCUUCAGCCUCCAUGCAUCCAGUUUUGAGUCAUCUGAUUCCAGGCCUAUCUCUGGCGCACGUCUUAGUCCACUAGAGCUGAAACCGAAAGUUCCAGCAUCUCCCGCCACAGAGGAGGAUUCCUGCUUUUCCUUUCCUAAGCCCCCAGUGGAUGCUGCGAAGAUUAGAAGAAUAAGCAGUGCCAGGGCUCGCUUAUUUAGGGCUGCCUCCCAGGGGGCCCUUCUGCUGGACAGAUCCCUACCUCCCUCUGACUCAAAGAAGACAGUGGAGUCCAAAGAAACAGUUAUGAUAGCAGACUCUAUGGUGAAAACAAAUGGGAUUUAUUUAACAAAAUCAAAUGCUAUAUGCCACUUAAAGAGUCACCCACUUCAGCUAACUUAUGAUGGAGGCUUCAAGGAAAUAAAGGAGCAAGAAAUGUUCAAAGGAACAACAUCCUUACCAUCUCAUCUCAAGAGUGGAGGGGACCAGGGGGAAAGACAUGCAAGGGCGUCAUCAUGCCCCAGCAGCUCAGAGCUGAGCAGGCUGCAAACCAAAGCAGUCUCAAAAGCUGACCGGCAAGAAAAGGAUGCCAAAAUAGAAGUAGAUGAAGCCUUUUGGAAUAUGAGGAUUGUACCGAUUUUGCAUGAAUUAGAAAAGGAAGAAAACAUUGAAACAGUUUGUGCUGCUUGCACACAGCUUCAUCAUGCCUUAGAGGAAGGAAACAUGCUUGGAACUAAAUUUAAGAAAAGAAGUAUUCUCCUGAAGACCCUAUAUAAACUAGUUGAUGUUGGUUCAGACUUGCUCAGCCUGAAACUUGCAAAAAUAAUUCUAGCACUUAAAGUGAGUAGAAACAAUCUUCUUAAUGUCUGCAAACUUAUAUUUAAAAUUAGCAGGAAUGAGAAGAAUGAUUCUUUGAUUCAAAAUGACAGCAUUCUGGAAUCAUUAUUGGAGGUACUAAGAAGUGAAGACCUGCAAAUGAACAUGGAAGCUUUUUUAUACUGUAUGGGGUCUAUAAAGUUCAUUUCUGGAAAUCCAGGAUUUCUUAAUGAAAUGAUCAGCAAAGGUGCUGUGGAAAUACUGAUAAAUUUGGUAAAGCAAAUAAAUGAGAGCACCAAGAAAUGUGGUACAUGUUUGCCUAAUUCGGGCCACUUGCUGGUUCAGGUGACUGCUACACUGAGAAACUUGGUUGAUUCACCAUUAGUAAGAAGUAAGUUCCUAAGCAUCAGUGCCCUUCCCCAGCUCUGCACGGUGAUGGAACAGUACAUGGGUGACAAGGACGUCUGUACCAAUAUUGCCAGAAUAUUCAGCAAACUUACUUCUUACCGUGACUGCUGUGGAGCCUUGGCCAGCUACUCCAGAUGUUAUGCCUUGUUUUUGAAUCUAAUUAACAAAUACCAGAAGGAGCAGGAUAUAGUCGUUCGUGUUGUUUUUACUCUUGGCAACCUGACCGCGAAAAAUAACCAGGCUCGUGAACAAUUUUCCAAAGAGAAAGGGAGCAUCCAAACUCUGCUGUCAUUAUUCCAGACUUUCCAUCAGCUCGAUCUGCAUUCCCAGAAGCCGGUGGGCCAAGGAGGCGAGGCGUACAGGGUGCAGAGGCUGCCGUCAGAGGCAGAGGACGUGCUCAUCAAGCUGACCCGCGUGCUCGCCAACAUUGCCAUCCACCCCGGCAUGGGCCCGGUGCUGGCCACCAACCCAGGAAUAGUGGGUCUGCUCCUGACCACGCUGGAAUACAAGUCACUUGAUGAUUGUGAGGAGCUGGUGAUCAAUGCUACAGCGACAAUCAACAAUUUAUCUUACUACCAAGCAAAGAAUUCCAUAAUUCAAGACAAAAAGCUAUAUAUUGCUGAACUGCUCUUAAAGCUUCUUGUCAGUAACAACAUGGAUGGAAUCCUGGAGGCUGUGCGUGUUUUUGGAAAUCUCUCCAAGGACCGUGAUGUCUGCGAUUUCAUUGUGCAGAACAAUGUACACAAGUUCAUGAUGGCGCUGCUGGAUGCUCAGCAUCAGGAUAUCUGCUUUUCUGCCUGUGGUGUUCUCCUUAAUCUCACUGUGGAUAAAGACAAGCGUGUCAUCCUCAAAGAAGGAGGUGGCAUUAAAAAGUUGGUGGAUUGUUUAAGAGAUUUUGGUCCUACGGAUUGGCAGCUGGCCUGCUUGGUUUGUAAAACUUUAUGGAACUUCAGUGAAAACAUCACUAAUGCUUCGUCAUGUUUUGGAAAUGACACCAACACACUCUUAUUCCUGCUGUCAUCAUUUUUAGAUGAAGAACUAGCACUGGAUGGCAGUUUUGAUCCAGACCUAAAAAACUAUCACAAACUCCACUGGGAAACAGAAUUCAAACCUGUGGCACAGCAGCUUCUAAACCGAAUUCAGAGACAUCACACCUUCCUGGAACCCCUGCCCGUUCCCUCUUUCUAACAAGAUGCAGGUUAACAGUAGAAACAGGAAGUCGCAUCUCCCUCAUUCUUAAGAACUGGUGAUGUAAUGUAUUCGAAAGCAUGUAGGCUUAGGUGAAUGGUAGACCUGAGCCUGAAUCCUUGCUCUCCCCUGCAAGCUGUGUGGGCCUAGAACAAGUAACUUAAUUUCUGGAGCUUCAACUGUAAAAUGGGAAUCACAUCUAUUUUACUGUAGUAUAGUUCAGAACAAACUAUUAAAUGGGCAAAUGGCACAUCCAGUGUAUGAUGUGGAGUGGAUGCUCAAGAACAUGAUGACGACCAUAUGGCUUCAACCUGUGAAUUUUGGAGGAACACAAAUAUUCAGUCCACAGCAAGUGGAAUUGCUGUAUCAUGGAAUUCUAUUUCUCAUUAUUGUGAGGAACCUCCAUAGUGUUUUCUAGAGUGGUGAUUAUCAUUUUACAUUCUCACCAAUACCACUUCUGGAGGCUGGGAAGUCCAAUAUCAAGGAUUUGGGACCUAUUGAGUAUCAUCUUCCUCACAGAUGGCACACUCUAGCUGCAUCCUCCCAUGGUGGAAGGUGAGCUCCUCAGGCCUCUAUUACAAGGGCACUAAUCCCAUUCAUGAGGGCAGAGCCCUCUUGACCUUAUCACCUCCCAAAAGCCUACCUGUUAAUACCAGUACAUUGGGGAUUACAUUUCCACAUACAGACCUGGAGGGGGAGACACAAACAUUCAGAUCAUCAUGUAUCUCCUUGGUUAAGUUUAUACCUAAGUAUUUUAUUCUUUUUGAUGCAAUUGUUUAAUUUUUUUGGAUCAUUCAUUGUUAGUGUAUAGAAAUGCAACUGAUUUUUGUGUGAUUUUGUAGCCUGCAACUUUGCUGAAUUUACGCUUCCUCCUAAUCAUACCAUUCUCUGCUGGGGAAGAGCUAGGGUGAGCAAAAUGCACAAACUUUCCUAGCCUUUUGGUGCAGCCUUUUCCUGGCUUUGCAUUUGCCUAAGUGCUGCAGUUUCCCAUUUGUUUUUUAGAGUUCUCACAAAGAUAUUGUGGCCCAUAUAUUGUUAACUCAAGUGUCUGGGAGAAUGAAGAUGUGGAGUUCCGAAGUCCAUCAUCUUGCUGACAUUACUUUCCAUCUACCAGCUAUAGCAAAAGGCUAGUAUGAUGAUUUGGGUAUGAUAUUCACAUAUAGAAAUAUGCUAAUAAAAUUUCAGAGUAUAUUGAUCAAAAAUGCUUACCCAACAAGUUUUACUUGUCUACUUUUCUCCCAGUGGUGUGCAUCAAAAUGAAUUUCAUUCUUAGAGAUAAGUUUGGCCUAAUAAAAAAGUUUUCCCAAAUAUGAUUAAAAAACCCCUUAGAUUUUAACUCUUGAAUCCUAGGAACCUCAACCAGAAAUCUUUUCAUGAUUAUUUUAGAAAAAAAUUUUCCUCUGGUGGGGGAAUAUUUUGAUAUCCCCAGUGCAAUGUAUCUUCCCUAGUUAUUCUGUCAACAAAUGGUUUCAAAGAUUAUAUAGUAACAUUAGAAAGUGUUUAGUUUUGAGGAAACAUUGAGUAACAGGAAGCACCUGUUAAAUGGAAGGCACUGAAACAUUAACUUAUCACAUGCAUUUUUAUUACUUUAGGUAUAAACAUAUUUUUUAACUCAUUAAAAUUUUAAUUUCUAAGUGAUUGUAAGUUCCAGUGGACUAAAUGCAUUCCAGUUGAUCUUGUUUUGUGAUCACUCUACAGCUGAUUGGAAUCGCUACCAGAAAUUUUGUAUUUUCAAGAGGAGGAACAAAGCAGAAAUGGGAUGAGUAAAAUUUUAACUAUGUCCAGUGCAUCCUUACUUCUUGGGUUAAAUUGUAUUGCUAUGGUGAGAGAACUCAGCAGCAGAUAGAAGAGGACAAAGGCAUGAUGCAUAUUCAAUGGGCAAUGAACUUAUGUUUCUUUAAAUAUAAAACAUUGAAGAUAAUAGUAGUCUAUUUCUAGCCAAGGUUAUAGUCUUGUCUUCUCACUAGAGUUUAUAUCCUUGAGUGGCAGGUAGCACCUCUAUUCAAAAUUGACCCUUCCCAACCCCUGCUUCCACACUACCCCAUACAUUUGUAGGCACUAGAUUGACUCAGUGUUUUGAGGAGUAACAGUUAUCACAACAGCUUCAGUUAAAUGUAAGAGCUAUUUCUACUUGUCUGAUACAGUGUGAUUUUUUUUUUUUGUUCUCUAGUCUCUUCCUAAUGAAUUCUUCUUUCUAAUAAUUUGUAAAAUUCUAUUGGAACUCCACAACAUCCCAGUUCAAAAUGGAGCAAGCAAAGAGCCAUACUAGUCAUUUCCAAGAUAAUAAAUGGUCUUAAAUAAGAUUCUGAAGAGGGUCCACUCCUCUUUGUAUCUUUCAAAAUGGCUUCAAGUGUUUUGCCAUUUGAAAGUAAUCUCAUGAUUACAGCAUUAUUUAAGUGUGAAUCCGCUUGGCUUAUGAAAGUAGAGAAAGUCAGAAUUGUUAAUAAUAGUGAAGUCAUGACUUUUUAAGAGAUUGAGACAGCAAAUAAAAUUGGAGAAAAAUUAUUCUUUAUUGAAAAAUACCAAUAAUACUGACAGACUUCAAAAGCAAUUCACACUUCCAGAAUACAAAGUAUUUAAUACAUAUUUUCAAACCUGUUUGGAUUUCAAACAAAGUUAGCAUUUUUGUAAAUCAAAUUUGAUAACCUGGCUAAAAAUAUUUUCCAGCUUUAUUAUUUAAGGAGCUGCACAACCUUUUACAGUGGGGACCAGGAGGCAGGCAGAAGCAGAGACAUAGAAUGCACCUAGGACUGCAUAGCAGUCUACAGCAACAUGUCCCACAACUUCAGUGCUACAAAAAUCCUGCACAAGACAGCUGCCCUCCAGUGUCAGUAUCUUGUGAAACAGCAUAUCAAAAUAUAGCCAGUUUCUUACAAUUUAUACACUUUCAUUUAGGAUUGCUUUUUGAAGAAAAUCUUUAAGGAUGCCAUAAUAAUACCAUCCAGAAUCCUGAAUUUAAAAAACAAAUGAAAGAAAUGAACUGUCACCAUCAAAAUGGUUGUUGCUGAGCUGUGUGAGUAGGAAUUCUAUGCUUUUUCAGGUGCAAAAAAAUUAACACAUAAUGCAAGUUUAAUUUGAAAUCACACAAGUUAUGUAUGUAGGCUCAGAUAGUAGCAAUGUUCACUUUUAUUACUAAUAGCUUAACUGAAACAGCCAUCUAUUCAUUCCUGCAGCAGGAAUAGCAGCACCAAGAUCUUCUAAAAUUCUUUAUGUAUAAAGCUUAAGUCAUCAUCCAAGUCCCAUUCUUUGCAUGCUCCAAUUCUUGUUAUCUUACUCAACAUAAAAGCAACAUGAUUUGGAGAAUUACUAUUUGCUGUAUUAAAACAGUUACA